rnacentral:rRNA from 1 species
AUUCAGUUAUUCCACUACUCCUUUGGUCGUUUACUGUGAGAAAAUUAGAGUGUUCAAAGCGGGCGUUUGUUUGAAUAGAUUAGCAUGGAAUAAUGAUUGAAGGCUUUCGUGUUCGAUUUGAUUGGUUUGUUCAUGGAAGCAAGGUUAAAAGGAACAGUUGGGGGUAUUCAUAUUCACUAGUUAGAGGUGAAAUUCUCGGAUUUAUGGAAGAUGAACAGGUGCGAAAGCAUUUACCAAGGAUGUUUUCAUUAAUCAAGAACGAAAGCUAGGGGAUCGAAGAGGAUUAGAUACCCUCGUAGUCUUAGCUAUUAACGAUACCGACUAGGGGUUAGUAGAGGCCAAUGUGUCUCUAUUAGUACCUUAUGAGAAAUCAAAGUCUUUGGGUUCCGGGGGGGAGUAUGGUCGCAAGGCUGAAACUUAAGGAAUUGACGGAAGGGCACCACCAGGAGUGGAGCCUGCG